CCAUUGUAUCAUUCCAGGGUGUGGCUGGGUAAAAAACGGCUCUGCUUGCUUUCUGCUAUGCAGGACUGAAACACUGAGAAAGGAUAUAUUUGAAGACACGUUGGUCACUGGUUAUUUUUAACUACUUUCCCUAAAAUGUGAACUCCUUUUUUCCAAUUCAGCACAUAUUCUAUAUUGUAAGUGGCAAACAUGAUGGAAAAGCAUCUAUAAACUAAUGGCAAUGCUCUAGGAGGAAAGAAUUGAAACAACCAGGAAUGUUGACUUCUGGUUCCAGCACUACCUUCAAUCCAGGAUUAUGAACCUUGAGGUAAAGAUCAUGUAGCUCAAUUGCAUUUAAUUAACUCUGGCUCAUGGCUGGAGUUUAGGAAAUAUUUUUUGAAUGGACACUGAAUAAAAACUUGUUUUCUUCACCUUAAAAAUAUUGUACAGUGUGCUAUAAGUUUAGUGUUUCCAAACAUCCAAGCAGGCCCUCUCAAAGGCCACAUAGAUUCCAAGGACUCAUUGACAAUGCCUUGUCCUGAAACACGCUGACCCUGGAAUGUACCUUGGAGUGCCUGUGAUGUCCCAUCAUAACCUAUGGGAAAGUAUAAUCUGCAUAAUUAAACCUGGAACGAGGACUCCUGAACUCUGAACACAUGAAGAAUCUGAAAAGGAAUGCGAAUACCUAUGAGAGAUAGGAGGAUCUUAGGGAUGGAGUUGGGACCAAGAAACCAUUGAAGCUGCCUCUCAUCUGUGUAAAAUGAGGGAAGUGUUCCCAUCCUGAAGCACCUGGGAUACAUUCCAAAGGGCCAACCCAAUUAGCAACUCAGAUCCAUUCAUUUGUGCAAAUGUACUUGGGGCUCUAAUAUGUUGUUUCAAGUGGACCAUGGAGCAGACUUCAGAGAAAGAACAAAUAUGAGCAUGAGUAAAUAUUUUCAUUAUCUAAAAAUGACUCUUCUAAUACCGUAAGUCCACAGACCUAUAACCGAGAACAGAAAAUAAAUGAGAAAGGCAAGUAGAUUUGUUCUAUUUUUAAACACAAGGAAUAUCAUGUGAGAAAUUUCAACUGUGCUUUUACUUUUAAGGAGCUAAGUUUUGGAACAGAAACUUUCUUGUUCUCAGUUGCAGAGUCUCUUCAAAGAUGGAGAAGCUGACUCUGACAUUGGAAACUGAUUAGAAGUUGAUGAUUGCAGAUUAAUAGAGUGCUGCAUCUGUUCUUUGUUGAGCAUGACCUUACAACAAUUUAAGGAAGAUGGGUCUAUAAAGCCCAAAGUACUUUGAAAUCAAUAGCUUGAUUUCAGGGGACAUUAACAUUAGGUCAAAUGAAAGUCCUGGGCUGUAUAGUUGUUACCCAUUGGCAGACAAUGAGCUCUCAGGACUAUGAAAUGACUGUGAAGAUCUCCUGGAGGGGAUGUAGUCUCUGCAUCCAUCAAAGUCUGACUCUAUCCAAGGAAAAAGGAGUUGAGACACCUGUGAGGAGCUGGGAUCCCUUUGGGUCAAAAAGUGAGGCUGUGCUGAGAAAAAUCUCAGCACUUUUUAAAUAAUA